rnacentral:rRNA from 1 species
CCCUUAGAUGUUCUGGGCCGCACGCGCGCUACACUGACACGUUCAUCAAGCUUAUAACCUUGGCCGAGAGGCCUGGGUAAUCUUUUGAAAUCGUGUCGUGCUGGGGAUAGAUUAUUGUAAUUUUUAAUCUUCAACGAGGAAUUUCUAGUAAACGCAAGUCAUCAGCUUGCAUUGAUUACGUCCCUGCCCUUUGUACACACCGCCCGUCGCUACUACCGAUUGAAUGUCUUAGUGAGUGCCCUGGAUUGGCUACUUGGUCUGUAAAGGCCUUGUGUUCGAAAAGGGGCGCUAACUUGAACAUUUAGAGGAAGUAAAAGUCGUAACA